AGCGAACGCUGGCGGCAGGCCUAACACAUGCAAGUCGAACGGAUCCUUCGGGAUUAGUGGCGGACGGGUGAGUAACACGUGGGAACGUGCCCUUUGGUUCGGAACAACUCAGGGAAACUUGAGCUAAUACCGGAUGUGCCCUUCGGGGGAAAGAUUUAUCGCCAUUGGAGCGGCCCGCGUCUGAUUAGCUAGUUGGUGAGGUAAAGGCUCACCAAGGCGACGAUCAGUAGCUGGUCUGAGAGGCUGAUCAGCCACAUUGGGACUGAGACACGGCCCAAACGCCUACGGGAGGCAGCAGUGGGGAAUCUUGCGCAAUGGGCGAAAGCCUGACGCAGCCAUGCCGCGUGAAUGAUGAAGGUCUUAGGAUUGUAAAGUUCUUUCACCGGGGACGAUAACGACGGUACCCGGAGAAGAGGCCCCGGCUAACUUCGUGCCAGCCGCCGCAGUAA
rnacentral:rRNA from 1 species